UCAGAUGAUUCAUGUGGAUGGCC
rnacentral:siRNA from 1 species